UACGUAGGGUGCGAGCGUUGUCCGGAAUUAUUGGGCGUAAAGGGCUCGUAGGCGGUCUGUUGCGUCGGGAGUGAAAACUCAGGGCUUAACCCUGAGCCUGCUUCCGAUACGGGCAGACUAGAGGUAUUCAGGGGAGAACGGAAUUCCUGGUGUAGCGGUGAAAUGCGCAGAUAUCAGGAGGAACACCGGUGGCGAAGGCGGUUCUCUGGGAAUAUCCUGACGCUGAGGAGCGAAAGUGUGGGGAGCGAACAGG
rnacentral:rRNA from 1 species